AUGCCUUUAAUGGCAAUAAUGGCUCGGGCGGCGGCUCAGGCGCCGGCGGCUUUCAUGGCCCGGGCGGCGGCUCAAAUUCCAAUCCUCAGAAUGUUCAAGGGGGCUUUAAUCAGCAGUCCGGCCAGGGUCAUCAACAACAACAGGGGGGGAUACCAGACCAAUCCAAAGCAGCUCAAUGGUGGACAGUACCAUGUGUUUACCACCAGUCUGUGUAAGCGAGAUCAGAAGCUUCACAAGAGGGCUGUGAAUGCUGUUGAGCCGGCGGUUCCACGCUAUUUAAGAUGGUCUGAGCAGCCUAUUGUGUGGAGUAGGGAGGAUCACCCUCCCCGGGUUGAUAAUCCGGAUCACUUGGCCCUGGUGGUGGCUCCUCAGGUGGGAGGAUAUAAGUUCACUAAGGUGCUCAUGGACGGAGGCAGCAGCAUCAACAUCCUCUAUUAUGAGACCUUCCGUCGUAUGGGGUUGAUUGAUAAGAACCUCAGCCAGUCCAAUACUGUUUUCCAUGGUGUGGUGUCUGGUAAGUCGGCUUAUCCAGUUGGUAAGAUCGAAUUGGAAGUGGCCUUUGGAGAUGAGUACAACUACAGGGUGGAAAAAUUGACCUUUGAGGUGGUCAAGAUAAGAAGUCUGUAUCAUGCCAUAUUUGGGCGGCCGGCUUACGCCAAGUUCAUGGCACGGCCGUGUUACAUAUACCUACAGCUCAAGAUGCCGGGUCACAAUGGGACCAUUACGGUUCAUGGUAGCCGAAAGAUAGCCUUGGAGUGUGAGGAAGGUGACACGGCUUAUGCAGAAUCUGUUUGUGCAACAGAGGAACUGAAGUUUUACAAGGAUAAUGUUGACCCAACAGAUAUGACAUCUCUGAAAAAGCCGACCACGGAGCAUCAGCCGGCAUUGAAAUUUAAGUCAGCUGAUGAGACUAAACUUGUUGAUUUCGUUCCAGGUGACUCAUCUCAGCAGUUUAGCAUCAAUGCCAAUUUGGAUCCGAAAUAG
rnacentral:rRNA from 1 species